AAGUCCAGUAUGGCAGGCUGGUACCUGAAAUUCCAUCUUUAGAGAAAGUCAUGAUACUAAAUGAAAUUCCAUCAUCAGAGAUUUGUUUCUAUGAAUCUGAAAGUCUUUGAAGUUUUCUGGAAUUCCCAAGCAAAAUUGGUUGUGGGGAGCUGCCGGGAGCGCCUGCGUCCCCGGCUGUGGUCUGAUGCCGGCAGAGUGUGAAGAGAGAAAGAAUCACGGGCCAGACCAUCUGUUUGUACCAGAUACUGACAUCUCUCUGGCAGUCUUCCAGUCUCCAGGAUCCAUUUUCUUCUGUCUACUUCCAGGCAACUGGCUUUACAGAUCACAGUAACUCCUGAGGGUUAUCACUUUAUGACACCAACAACACAAAUAUGACGCUUUAUCUACAUCAUCCUAACAGUGUGCCCAGAAGAGUGAUCACAAGGUCUUCAUUGAGAAUCAAGAACAAGCUAGACACAGUAAAGAAAGACAGCUGUAUAAGAAACCCAGCAUAGAAGAUACAUGAGACCUAAGGGGAAUUUCAGGAGUUCAACAAGGGGUUACAGAAAGAGAAUGCUGAAGGAAAGGAGUAGAAAAGUUGUAUAGCUUAAUGAGGGGUAAAGGACAAUGAGAAGGCUCCAUAAAACAGAUACUUCUUGUGAGGAAUGUCUUCAUAAAUGUAUGAAAAUAAAACCUGUCUCCCUUCUUUCUCCCCCCUCCCACCCCAAAUACAGAACUAAA